GUGAAGCUGGAUUCGCUAGUAAUCGCGGAUCAGCAUGCCGCGGUGAAUACGUUCCCGGGCCUUGUACACACCGCCCGUUACACCAUGAGAGCUGCGAACACCCAAAGCCGGUAGCCUAACCGCAAGGAGGGCGCUGUCUAAGGUGGGCGUGGUAAUUGGGGUGAAGUCGUAACAAGGUAAC
rnacentral:rRNA from 1 species